AGUGAACGCUGGCGGUAGGCCUAACACAUGCAAGUCGAACGGCAGCACAGUAAGAGCUUGCUCUUACGGGUGGCGAGUGGCGGACGGGUGAGGAAUACAUCGGAAUCUACUUUUUCGUGGGGGAUAACGUAGGGAAACUUACGCUAAUACCGCAUACGACCUACGGGUGAAAGCAGGGGAUCUUCGGACCUUGCGCGAUUGAAUGAGCCGAUGUCGGAUUAGCUAGUUGGCGGGGUAAAGGCCCACCAAGGCGACGAUCCGUAGCUGGUCUGAGAGGAUGAUCAGCCACACUGGGACUGAGACACGGUCCAGACUCCUACGGGAGGCAGCAGUGGGGAAUAUUGGACAAUGGGCGCAAGCCUGAUCCAGCCAUACCGCGUGGGUGAAGAAGGCCUUCGGAUUGUAAAGCCCUUUUGUUGGGAAAGAAAAGCAGCAGGUUAAUACCCCGCUGUUCUGACGGUACCCAAAGAAUAAGCACCGGCUAACUUCGUG
rnacentral:rRNA from 1 species